GGCACCUUGUACAUUUAAACGUCGCAGGCCCUCCCAACAACAACCCUGGCACACCAAGCUCACUCGAUACCUCCAAAAAUGCUCCAGAACUGCUGAACGCUGUUGGAGAAAGUCUCACUGUGCAUCUGACUUUCUCCACUAUAAAUUUAUGCUGAGCUCAUACAGCUUGGCUCUUUCCUCUGCAAAAGUUAAUUACUUCAAUACUCUCAUAACCA